rnacentral:rRNA from 2 species
UGGCGGCUUUAGCGCGGUGGUCCCACCUGACCCCAUGCCGAACUCAGAAGUGAAACGCCGUAGCGCCGAUGGUAGUGUGGGGCCUCCCCAUGCGAGAGUAGGGAACUGCCAG